AUUUGGUGGGCCCCAAUGCAAGUCAGUUUGGGAGGAGCUAAGUAUGUGCUGGUCACUGUAGAUGACUAUAGCAGGUUUGGGUUCUGCUAUUUACUAAAGAGUAAAACAAAGGUGUUACAGAAAUUUAAGUAAUGGGUAAGCUUUGCAGAAAGAAGGUAUAAACAACAGGUAUGUCAGCUGCAAACUGAAAGAAGUUCAGAAUUCAUAUCAA